rnacentral:lncRNA from 1 species
GGCACACAUGAAUAACUUGUAUUCCACUUAUUUCAAAAAACAAAUAGAGUACAUGGAUAUUUAUAGGCAUCAUUAGAUGCUCUUGUAGCCUUCCUAAUUGAAUUGGUCAUUACACUAUUCAUAACCCCAAAUAAAUCUCAAAUAACUCCCUCUAAAUAAAUCCCUUAUAACUCCAUGUAACUCUCACAUGACUAAAAACCCAAAAGAUAUGUAACUCCCACAUGACUAAAAAUCCAAAAGACAUAUAACUCCUCACCAUACUAAUAUGCAAUUAUAGAAAAUCAAACUAUAAGUUACUAAUAUUAAAAAACAAGUUUAAUAACCAACAGAAACAUCAGCACCUUUUCUCAUCUGUGGGAACUAAGUUCUAAGUUUGAUGUAGUGAAAUGACCUCGAAAUGCAGCAGUUUGGAGGAGCCGUGCAGACAGCAGCCCAAUGCUUUGGUUAAACUCAGAAAAGGGGAAUAAAUCCUGUUCCCUCGCCAGCAGUUACUUUCACCAUGGCCAUGCCCGACAUAGACAUUGUAGAGGAACCAGGAGCAAN